GUCCCCAUAGCUCAAUGGAUAGAGUGUAGGCCUCCGGAGCCUAAGAUCGAGGUUCGAGUCCUCGUGGGGACA
rnacentral:tRNA from 1 species